GUCCUCCUAAUUUAGCUAAUUAUAAUUGAUUACUAAAGAUGUUUGAAGUUAUUUUUGCAAACCGACAAAACUUUCCUGUUCACACUUUUCAGAAUUAUUGCGGAUACGCCACAUUGAUAACGAACCGAUGUAUCUGUCAAAUUGACCAGCUGGUAGCUGUGCAGAAAGUGCAGAUACGUAAGCGAAGUAUAAAAGUUUUGCACCUAGUCGAACUUCGUUACUAAAAUGUAUACAAACGCGAGUGAGUAUUUUGUUAUCGGUUACUUCUGUACUUUCCGUACGAGUACAUUUACCCGAAGCAGUACGCGUACACAUGCUGGAGCUGAAACGAACUUUCGGUGUAAAAGUGUCCUGUGAAGAUGUUCUCGAGGAUGAGUAAUACGAUCACCAUGCUCUGCACUUUGUUCGUAAGCUGACCUACUGUUCGCGUACCGUGCUGGAGGUCUAAAUAAUUAUCGCUGAACUCAUAUGUACUACGGGAAUGAGAUAGGCGUGAUGCCACAUAUCACGGGGUUGAUUUUUAGUUCGCGAAAUAAAUGCAAUGUGCGACGGAAAUAUUGUCGAUGCCAAGUGCUCCGGUAUGACGGCCCUAUACCCAGAAGCGAAACUCAACGGAAGCGUUUAUUGUGGAGACUGGUACCUCACGAAGCUUUCCAAAAGGAUUGAAAGGAGCCUAAAAUACCGCUGGGGGUUCAUUCGAUUGAUGAUUUGAACGACUUUGGAGUUGUGAUCAAUCAGGCGCAGCUGGCCGUUUAUUGCAUGUUUCUAAAGAAAUAUUUUUAAAUUAAAAAAUAUGAUAUUUUGGUCGGAGCAUUGUUUUCUUUGAACUCUAAGGCCCGAUUUCUUCACCCUCGCUUAACUUCUAAACCCAGUACACCAGUAUAUUUAAACCUGGCUUAAGCGUUAAGCGAGGGUAAAGAAAUCGGCCUUAAGAGGAAUAGUAGAGAGUGUUACCUGUUCAAGUGAUGAUGCGAAUAGAAUUAAAAUAAAAUUGUGUCUGUGA